rnacentral:tRNA from 1 species
AAGGUUUUAGCUUAAUAAAAGUACCUGUUUUGCAUACAGGAGAUGUGGGUUAGUACCCUGCAAGCCUUA